AACGAACGCUGGCGGCAUGCUUAAUACAUGCAAGUCGAACGAGAAAGCACCUUCGGGUGUGAGUAGAGUGGCGCACGGGUGAGUAACACGUAGGUGACCUACCUAACAGUGGGGGACAACAGAAAGAAAUUUCUGCUAAUACCGCAUUCGUUAAGCAAUUUUGGAAGUAGCUUAAGAAAGAUGACCUCUCCUUGGAAGUUAUUGCUGUUAGAUGGGCCUGCGAAUCAUUAGCUUGUUGGUGGGGUAAUGGCCUACCAAGGCUACGAUGAUUAGCUGGUUUGAGAGAAUGAUCAGCCACACUGGAACUGAGACACGGUCCAG
rnacentral:rRNA from 1 species